GCCCGCUUGGCGGAAUUGGUAGACGCAAGCGACUUAAAAUCGCUCGGCAUUGCCGUGCCGGUUCGAUCCCGGCAGCGGGCACCA
rnacentral:tRNA from 1 species